GCAUAAGAAAACAGUCAGAUAUGCACAGAAUAUGCAACAUGGUACAAUGAAGUUCUAAAAUACCAAUAUUCUGAAAAACAAAAAAGGUAGAAGGAGAACCAUCUAGAUUAACUGGGAUUUUGAAACAAUUUCCCACAGGAAGCCAUGGAGCUUUGGACUCCACCAGUACUAUUUUAAAUUUUUUGAAGGACAAGAAAGAAAACAGCACUGCAGUUCUACUGAUGUAGAACUACUGAUGAAUGGAUGUUUAACAAAUGAAUAACUCCCACUGGA